GACAGGAUCAUAGUGGUUUAGAUGUUGGACUAGGACUCUGAAGAUCAGAGUUCAAAUCCCUGUUCGGCCA